rnacentral:rRNA from 1 species
UACGUAGGGGGCAAGCGUUGUCCGGAAUCAUUGGGCGUAAAGCGCGUGUAGGCGGUUCGGUAAGUCUGCUGUGAAAGUCCAGGGCUCAACCCUGGGAUGCCGGUGGAUACUGUCGGACUAGAGUCCGGAAGAGGAGAGUGGAAUUCCCGGUGUAGCGGUGAAAUGCGCAGAUAUCGGGAAGAACACCCGUGGCGAAGGCGGCUCUCUGGGACGGUACUGACGCUGAGACGCGAAAGCGUGGGGAGCGAACAGG